GGGUGAGUAACGCGUGAGAAACCUGCCUUUUACAAAGGGAUAGCCUCGGGAAACUGGGAUUAAUACCUUAUGACACUUAAAUGUCGCAUGAGAUUUAAGUCAAAGCGUAAAGCGGUAAAAGAUGGUCUCGCGUCCCAUUAGUUAGUUGGUGAGGUAAAGGCUCACCAAGACAGCGAUGGGUAGCCGGCCUGAGAGGGUGAACGGCCACACUGGAACUGAGACACGGUCCAGACUCCUACGGGAGGCAGCAGUGGGGAAUAUUGCACAAUGGAGGAAACUCUGAUGCAGCGACGCCGCGUGAACGAUGAAGGCUUUCGGGUCGUAAAGUUCUGUCCUAAGGGACGAUAAUGACGGUACCUUAGGAGGAAGCCCCGGCUAACUACGUGCCAGCAGCCGCGGUAAUACGUAGGGGGCAAGCGUUGUCCGGAUUUAUUGGGCGUAAAGGGUGCGUAGGCGGUCUUUUAAGUCAGAUGUGAAAGAUCACGGCUCAACCGUGGUAAGCGUUUGAAACUGAAAGGCUUGAGUUAAGGAGAGGAAAGUGGAAUUCCUAGUGUAGCGGUGAAAUGCGUAGAUAUUAGGAGGAAUACCAGUGGCGAAGGCGACUUUCUGGACUUAUACUG
rnacentral:rRNA from 1 species